rnacentral:lncRNA from 1 species
GUAGUCUGCAGCAGGAGCGCAGGAACCCCUCCCCCUUUCUCUGCGUCAUGCCUUGACGGUACGGGCUUUUAAGUGUCACCAUGACGACGGCGUUGGAGUUGGUCUCUAAAGGCAUUCACCGCUUCUUCCGCUUUUGUCCUACAAAACUCUCAACCGGGAAAUAAAAAAGUCGCCACCACGAAAGAUAGCACACAGCAGAAGUUGUUUAUCUCACCAUGAGUCAAAGGACUAACUACAUCAUGACCUCGCAAGAAAGGGAUCACACAGCUGUGGACGGAGCAGACGGGGAGCUGUCAGUACCGGAGAACCCAGCUGACGAGCACGAAAUAGCAGAAAGGAGACUUGUUGAAAGCCUUUUAGAUACCAGCGAGGAGAACUUCUUGAAUGAGAAGGAGCUAAAUGAGUUCCAUUGUUACUCUGGUUGGGAGGAUGCUGUUUAUGGUUGGGCCAGAGUUGUUCCCCUGAGCUGCAUACUUUUGACUUCAAACACAUACAAGAAACCAAAGCAUAAGGAGGCUGACAAUGGAACUCCUUCAUCUGAUGACCCAGUACCUUCUAAUGCAGACAGCUCAGUCAGCAUUACAGAGCAGCACUGUGAGUCUCAUGCAGGCCUGGAUAAUUUUAAGAAGUUUGUGUCAGUAAAUCAGCAGACAGGAUCUUGGAGUCAAACUGCUAUGGCAGCUCAACAGACAGAUGCUGCAGAAUGUCCUUUCCUUAAAGCCAUGCAGAGAAAUCAGACACAUCUCUUACUGGAAGAAAAGAUAUAUGAGAGGGGGAUGGAUAAAGAGACACUUUCUCAGCAUCACCAUCUGUCUUCAAAAUAUUCUGUGCCAGAGAACAAGCCUGCUAAACCUCGGAAACAUAGUCAUCGUCCCAAUAACAGAGUGGUUCCCAUUAAAAACUUCACAUUUCUACCACCUAUUAAACCACCUCACCUGAUUGCCAAGGCCAGUGAUCAUCUCUGUAGACACAAGAAGACUCCAGAGAAACAAACCUCAGAGAAAAACUGUUUCCUUUUAGACAAGCAGCGUGGAACAAGGGGAACUAGAGUGGACACUGCUACUAAUUCAGAUAUUUCCACUUUCUCUGCAGCGCUGACCUCCAAGUACCAGACAUUUUGGCAAAACCCUCACAAUGUUUUGAUACCAAGAGGUAUUGAAUACAAUGUCUUCCAAACCUGACUCAAUGCACGUCUCUCACAAGGAAUUUCACAAAUCCAAAUGCACCCUGUAGAGCUGCCUCUUCUCUGCCUCACUUCACUUUUAAGCUGAAUGAGGCAUGUGAAAUAAAAAUCUGUCAUGUGAACAUUUAAGUAUGCAGUAAUUUUAGUUUCUCAGGUACAACUAAGCAAAGGCAACAUCUUUUAUUAUAAAGGGCAUCCUGUCUGUCACCCUCACUCAAUCACAUUUCCAUUAAAAUACACUUAGCUGGAAGAAGAAAUUCAGCCUGGCAUAAUAGUAGCACUGGUAGUCGCUAAUAUUUUUAAAUUUGAGCAGACUACAACUUGGCCAGAACUUUAACAUCGCACUGCAGCUCGUUUCUCAUAAUAUAAACUAUGGCCAAACUACUGCAGCUGCUUAAUACAGUUUAACUUUUAUAUUAGUAAACAAGGGAUUGGUAAUUGUUAGGGAUUAUGGGUGGAGCCAGGGUUCUUUCUAAAAAUGCCAAGGGUCAUGUUGGUUUCCAAGGUCAACAUGACUCACGGCCUGUUUUCAGUCAGUUGUUAUAAUACUGUUUAAGCUGUGGCAAUUUUGUUACCUUAUUACAUUUAUUUGUAUUGCUCUAAUUCUUUUCCCUACCUACAUAGAUGUAAAAUAAAUGCACAGGCCUGGAUUUAGUAGGUUUAUACAGGGCAGGUUGUAACUGCAUCAAAAGAAGAAA